CCCGCCGUCCCCAGUCGCAGAGCUAGAGGCGGAGUGGCGCCCCCGGAGUCGUGCGGCGGCGACGGCAGUGCUGGCAACCAUGGAGAAGAUCCCGGCUCUGGGCCUGGGCACCUGGAAGGCAGCUCCGGGCGAGGUGACGGAGGCAGUGAAAGUGGCGAUAGACGCGGGGUUCCGGCACUUUGACUGCGCUUACUUGUACCACAACGAGAGUGAGGUCGGAGCCGGGAUCCAGUGCAAGAUCAAGGAGGGCGUGGUGACCCGGCAGGACCUGUUUGUCGUCAGUAAGCUCUGGUGCACCAGACAUGAGAAGUCCUUGGUGAAGGCGGCCUGCACCAAGAGUCUCAAGGCCUUGAAGCUGGAUUACCUGGACCUCUACCUCAUGCACUGGCCCAUGGGCUUCAAGCCCGGGGAGGAAGACCUGCCCCUGGACCGCAACGGCAUGGUGCUGCCCAGCGACACGGACUUCCUGGACACGUGGGAGGCCAUGGAGGACCUGGUGGUCACGGGGCUGGUGAGAGCCAUCGGGGUGUCAAACUUCAACCACCAGCAGCUCGAGAGGCUUUUGAAUAAACCCAACCUGAGGUUCAAGCCACUGACGAACCAGGUCGAGUGCCACCCGUAUCUUACCCAGAAGAAUCUGAUCAACUUUUGCCAAUCCAGAGAUGUGACCGUGACAGCCUACCGGCCCCUCGGCGGUUCCAGUGAGGGGGUAGCCCUCCUGGAUGACCCUGUGAUUCAGAGGAUCGCACAGAAGUACAACAGGUCUCCCGCCCAGAUUGUGAUCCGAUUUCAGAUCCAGAGGAAUGUGAUUGUGAUCCCCAAAUCUGUCACCCCAACACGGAUCCGUGAGAAUAUCCAGGAAAGGGUUCUUUUCUUCUUUUAUUCGGAGGGUUUGGGAUCACACGGUAGUCAGCUGGGGGUCUGACCACCGCACAAGCAGGCCCUGUGUGGCUUUGACGCAGCAGAGGGGCCGGGUGGAGCUGCGGCCACAGCACGAGGAACCCCAGGGUGUGACAGGCACGAACCCAGCCCGGGAUCCGGCGAACAGGAGGUCCCAAACAGCCGGGGUGCCGGCCAGAGGCUCGCAGGGCUGUGCCCCCGAGCCGAGUGCCUGGUCCCCAAGUCUCAGGACCGCUGCGCCCGGCUGCCUGGAUUCGUGGGGCCCUUCCAGAACCGAAGGCCGCCCUCCAGUCAGAGCCUCUGCUGACACCGAGCCCUUGGUUUCUGCUAGACCGGGUGGAGGGUCUCCUGUGGGUAGAGGCCGGGCCCGGCCGGUCCCCUCCCGGGAGUCGCUGCACCCUCCCUCCCGGCUCCUCAGCUGGGGACCGGGGCUGGCUCUCCUGUGAGAACAGAUCGUGUUUCAGGAGUGGGGGUCAUAGUCCUCACGGGUAUUAGGAGCAAAGGGGGUGCAGCUUAGAAUUCUGCUUUAUGAGGAAAGAAACAAGAAUUACACUGUGUUAUGGCUACCGUCAGAGCCAGUGGUCCCGGGGACCCAGUGUCCGAGCUGGGAGGGCGUGGGGCACGAAUGUUUUUGGUUUUUCACUUUUAUUUGGUUUUGGAGGGGUUUUUUGGUGUUUUUCAUUUUUUGGGGGGGGUUCUUUUUUUGUGUUUUUUGUUUUGUUUUGUUUUUGAGCGACGGGAAAAAUUCUUUGCUCACCUCCCACCUCUUGAUUCCAGCUCGUCCCUUAUUCCCCUCGGUGGGGGGGACUGCAGUACACGUCCUGUCUUUGCAGGGGCUCUCACCCAGCCCGGGGCAGCCAGCGUCAGGCACAGGGUCACAGCCGCAGUUCCCGGAGGAAGGCUGAUGAUCCGGGGAAGUUGCAGGUGCCGCGUGCAGUGUUUCUUCUGCAUCUUGUGUCCCCGGCAGGUGUUUGACUUUGAAUUAUCAGAAAGGGACAUGAACGACAUCCUCGACCUGGACAGGAAUUUCCGAAUGUGCACCUUGCCCACAGCUAAAAACCACAAGGACUAUCCUUUCAACAUAGAAUACUGAGCACGGCCUCCCUCUUCCCCCCCCUGCCUGGCCCAACGGGUCCAUGAGGCCCGAGCCGAGGCAGGGCUCUGCCAGGGAGGUGGGGGCGACCGGCUUUGACUUGGGUGGAUUCCUGCCUGGAACAGAGCUGCGCUCCCUGAGAGGUCCACACAGUUCCGGUGGUGGGUGAUGGGAAGGGAGCCGCCCUGGGAGCGGUGCUCGCUCUCUGUGGAGAACCCCCCAGUCCUACGGCUCCUUUGAGCACAGUGUGACAGGAUUUUGAGCAGACAGGCUGUGUGGCGGGCCUCUACCCUCGGAAAAAAGGUUGUAUUAUGGAAAUAUUUAAAUACAGGAUUUGAGACCAUAGCACGAGUCUCUACAUGUGUCACCCAGCCCCGCUUGAGACCCUGGGCCGGCCUCCCGCCAUCUGUGUGGCUCUGUUCCCUCAAUCCCCCCAGAUGGUUUUAAAGCAAAAUCUUUACGUUCACACGUGCAGAGACAAGCUGGGUGAAGGCGGGAGAGGGUCUCAGUUCAACACAGAGGCUUUUCUUACUUAAAUACGGCUGUGGGAACCCCAAGCAGAGAGGACACGUGGGUCAUUGCCCUCCUGCGCUCAGCGUCCGGGGUCCGUCCAGUGGGCUCGCUCAGGGCUGUGUGUGACUCGUGUCCUCUCUGCUCACCGGAUGGCACUCGAGCACUAUGCUUUGCGCCAUUGUCUUAAAAAUCUGCUACAAGUUAUUAUGUUCCACGAAAAAGGUUCAUUUUCAUGAAUGAAUGGCAGGAUGUUUCCCUGUUUAUGUUAAAGGAAAGAAAAGUUCACCAUAUAGGCUAAUAGUGCUUUCUACUGAUACUUACCGAAUUUUGCUAUUUAAUGAAGUAAUUCUACCGGAUUCAGAAUGUAAAGAAAACUGAGAAAAGCUCAAUUAUAACAAGUAAAAAUGGCCUAAACUA